UUUUCCCCUUCCUUCCAUAUUAUCAAUCUGUUUUUGCUAGGAUUACUAUUUAUUUUGUAAAAGGGUACCCUGAGAAACAACUAGUACUGGUUUAAGAAAUGGGUACAGCAAGGGAAGAAAUGGAAAUUGAACACUGGAGGUUGGCUUGUUUGGUUCUGAAACACCACAAUAAUGAUCUGAUGAAUGGGGUUUAGUAAAGUUAAGAGAAGGUUUCAGGAAGAAGGUUUUAAGGAAGGAGUAGAGAUUUCACAGAAACAUGAUGAUCCCAAUGUAACAGUCUACAAGAGGAAAAGAUGUGCAGACACCAUGGAAAUGGAAAAUCACCAUUGGAGGUUAGCUUGUUUGGUUCUGAAACACCAAAACAAUGAGCUGAUGAAGGAGUGUAGUCAACUGAAGAAAAAGUAUGAGGAAGGUUUCAAGGAAGGAAUAGAAAUUUCAAGAAAACAUGAUGAUCCCAGUGUCAUAAUCUACAAGAGGAAAAAAUGUUGUACAGACGUUUUGGAGGAUGAUCAAAGGGGCAAAUGUCAAAAAUGUACUGAACUCAACCGGGAAAUCGAUGAUUUGAAGUUGAUGAAGAAAAGAAAUGUUGUUGAGAUUGAAGAUCUGAGGAUAAAUUGCAUGGAAAUGGACAUUGAAGUAACCGCCUUGUGAAUCAUGAAAUCGACUUGGAAAAAGAACUAGAAGCUUAUAUAAUCAAGUGUCAAGGAUUGUCUGCAGAGCUACAGCGGAAGGGAACGGAAUUGGAGAACCUAGAGGUAAUAAACGGCCGUCUUGAUCGUCGGUGUGAAAUGUACAGGGCCAAAUGCAUUGCAAUGGAAGAGAAAAUCAAAGGGUUGAUAGAAGAAGGAAUUGUCAUGUCUGGAAUUGUUAUGUCUGAAAGGGAGACGAGUGCAAGAGAAAGAAUUCGUCACUUGGAGGAGGUAAUUAAGAAAAUGGAAACUAACGAAAGAGGGAGGUUUGCAGAGUUGGAAGCUUAUAGAAUCAAAUGCCAAGGUUUGUCUGCAGAGCUGGAACGGAAGGGUCUGGAAUUGGAGAACCUAAGGGUAGUAAAUGGUCGUCUUGAUCGUGAGCGCGAAGACUACAUGACUAAAUGCAUUGAAAUGGAAGACCAAAUCAAGGGGUUAACAGAAGAAGGAAUUGUUAUGUAUCAAAGGGAGAAGAGUGUAGGUCUCAGGAGACUCUCCUCAUGCCAACAAUCUAAGGGUGGCAGAGAAUGCAUUGGGACACCAAGUAAGUUUUAAGACAGAAGGGACACUAACUAGGUUCCGCAAGUGCAGUGGAACGCCGUCUAGUGAAAAUCUAGCUUUGCAGCCCAAACAAGAUGGCGCAAGGCCAUCUACAUGAGAUUGUCGAUGUCAGCGACGGUGGGGGAGAGAAUGAAGGAGAUUACUUUGAAACAUACUUAUAGUUUGAUGCAGCAAAUCAGAGAUUUUGCAAUUUCUGCAACUUAUUUUGGAAGAUCACAUGACUUGAAUUUUCAAGUAGUUGCUGCUGUAAUUGUGGUUUAAGAUCUCAUAAAGGAAGUAUAUUUCACCUUGCUUAUUAAAGCGCAGGGCUCACUCUUUACAUAUUGGCUGAUGAACAUUUGAAACCCUGGUACUGAAUCAAGACUACUCUACAGCAGUGUUCAAUGCAUUGGUCCAGUUACUCCACAUAAGAUACUUGCAUGUAAUUCUUUUUUAACCUUAUUCAAAUGCCUCCAAAUGUGUGUGAACCGAGUCAGAUGUAGAAAAAAUGGAAGCGUGAAAGAUAGAGUAGCAGUGAAGAUCAUUGAAGAGGUUUCUUUUUGGGGUUAUUACAAAAGCUGAGUCUUUUUUAAUUUAGACUAUCAAUAGAUUCAUGAAUUAAGCUCAUCUGAAACAUUAUUGCUCUUAUAAUUCUAACUCUUAGCCUGUCCUUGCUUGAAAUUUUCAACUACUUAGAUUGAAAGCUAAAGUUUUUGUGCACCUCUCUAGUUAAUCUUCAUUACUGCAUGAUGAGGAUGCCAGAGUCUGUGCAGCUAAUGAGGCGCACUUGACAAGAACUGAAACACGUCCAAAUACUACUAUUACACCUGCCAGUUACAAACCUUCUUCUUCACUGCAAGUAAAUUCCGAUGUUGUGCACGCCUCAGACUCAGCUCAUAUCAACAAUCAGUGCAAGUCUGUAGUAGGUGCCAAGGAUUACUUUGCAAGUGCAGCUGGGCGCCAAGUAGGUUCUGACUGAGACACAAGAAGGGACACUAACCAGGUUUCGCAAGUGCAGCGGCACACCAUCUACUGAAAAUUUAGCUUUGCUCAGACAAGAAGAUGGUGCAAGGGCAUCAUCAACUGCAGGCAUUGUUGAGAUCGACAGUGAGCUGGAAAUCGUGGAUAUCAGCGAUGAUGAGGAAGAAAAUUAAGGAGACUUAUCUGAUUCUGAUACAUACUCAAGACAACAGAAGAAGACACAUUCAACUAACCAGGCACCAUGUAUAAUUCUUUCUUUUACUGCAGCAAAUAGGCGGCAGAUGCAUUUAGGCAAAUGAGGCCAUUUUUAACCUUUCUACGUUCUCCUAAUUCCUAUCAAUAUUGUAAGAGGAACUGAAACUAGUGGAAGUAGAUAGAUAUACAAAUUGGUUUACAGUUUUGAGGACAUUUUGGUGUCCUAACAGUAACA